rnacentral:rRNA from 1 species
GACGAGCCACCCGAGCGUUAUUCGGAAUUACUGGGCUUAAAGGGUGCGUAGGCGGUGUAGCAAGUCGGGAGUGAAAUACCCCAGCUUAACUGAGGAAUUGCUUUCGAUACUGCUGCGCUUGAGUGAGACAGAGGUAAGCGGAACUUAGGGUGGAGCGGUGAAAUGCGUUGAUAUCCUAAGGAACACCGGUGGCGAAGGCGGCUUACUGGGUCUCAACUGACGCUGAGGCACGAAAGCUAGGGUAGCAAACGGG